rnacentral:miRNA from 1 species
UUCCCUCCAGGCCUCCCCCUCUCCUCCCACCCCACCCUGCAAAAUCCAUUUAAAAAUAUAUAUAUAUAUAUAUAUAUAUAUUUUUAAAUGGAUUUUGCAGGGUGGGGUGGGAGGAGAGGGGGAGGCCUGGAGGGAA